GGAACUCUUUCCUUCUCUUUCCUGCUGGAAGCUAAUGAAAUAGUUUGUUUUGUCUGUUUGGUUGGUUUUUGGUAAGGAUCCGGAAUGAUCAGGAAGAAAUUCCAAAAGGGAAGAGCUACUUAUUUUUGCCACUGAGUUGGAGGAUCACGUCUCCAGAAGAAUCUGCAAGACCUUGUUGGUAUAUUAUGAAUAACAGAGUCCAGAGAACUUCCUUCUACAGAGCCCCCAGAUGAGAGAGAGCCACUGUCCAAGAGGAUGAGGCUGGACCUGGAGAAGGAGCCACCAUGUCCUCAAAGCCAGCUCAUUUUCUCAUGAGGCAAGGGCUUUUUGACCACUUGCAGACAGAGUGGAGAUAUCAGUGAACCAGACAGCAUCUUGAUAAGACUAUUUAAUUACAUGCACUUGUAUUUUAAAGUUUAGUUACAUUAUAGAGUGAGAGAAAUUUGGAAUAAUUUAAGUUUUAAUUUAUAUGACCAUGUAGUUAAGUUGGUUCCACAUAAACUAUGUAAAAAUGU